rnacentral:rRNA from 1 species
UGCUCCCUACGGGGCGCAGCAGUAGGGAAUAUUGCUCAAUGGGGGAAACCCUGAAGCAGCAACGCCGCGUGGAGGAUGAAGGUUUUCGGAUUGUAAACUCCUUUUGUUAGAGAAGAUAAUGACGGUAUCUAACGAAUAAGCACCGGCUAACUCCGUGCCAGCAGCCGCGGUAAUACGGAGGGUGCAAGCGUUACUCGGAAUCACUGUGCGUAAAGAGCGCGUAGGCGGGAUAGCAAGUCAGAUGUGAAAUCCUAUGGCUUACCCAUAGAACUGCAUUUGAACCUGUUUUUCUAGAGUAUGGGUGU